UACGUAGGGUGCGAGCGUUAAUCGGAAUUACUGGGCGUAAAGCGUGCGCAGGCGGUUUUGUAAGCCAGGUGUGAAAUCCCCGGGCUCAACCUGGGAACUGCAUUUGUGACUGUAGAGCUGGAGUACGGUAGAGGGGGAUGGAAUUCCGCGUGUAGCAGUGAAAUGCGUAGAUAUGCGGAGGAACACCGAUGGCGAAGGCAAUCCCCUGGACCUGUACUGACGCUCAUGCACGAAAGCGUGGGGAGCAAACAGG
rnacentral:rRNA from 1 species